rnacentral:rRNA from 1 species
UUUUUUAAUUGAAAGCUGGAAUGAAGGAUAGUUACUAAAAAGAAAGUUUUAAUAAAUAAAUUUGAAAUUAAAUUAAAAGUAAAAAUGCUUUUAUUAAUCUUUGGGACGAGAAGACCCUAGAAGCUAUAAAGGAAACAAGACUUUUAAAUUGGGGUAAUUAAUGAAGAUAAGAAUCUUUAAUAUAAUAAUAAAAUUAAUAAAUUAAUUAAGUUACUCUAGGGAUAACAGCGUUAUUUGAUUAAUAAGUUCUUAUUAAUAAUUAAGUUUGCGACCUCGAUGUUGAAUUAAUAUUUAUUUUUGGUGUAGAAGCUUAAAAAUUAAGUCUGUUCGACUUUUAAAAUAUUACAUGAUUUGAGUUCAAAUCGGCUUAAGCCAGGUCGGUUCUUAUC